rnacentral:rRNA from 1 species
GAUGAACGCUGGCGGCGUGCCUAAUACAUGCAAGUCGAGCGAACGGACGAGAAGCUUGCUUCUCUGAUGUUAGCGGCGGACGGGUGAGUAACACGUGGAUAACCUACCUAUAAGACUGGGAUAACUUCGGGAAACCGGAGCUAAUACCGGAUAAUAUUUUGAACAGCAUGGUUCAAAAGUGAAAGACGGUCUUGCUGUCACUUAUAGAUGGAUCCGCGCUGCAUUAGCUAGUUGGUAAGGUAACGGCUUACCAAGGCAACGAUGCAUAGCCGACCUGAGAGGGUGAUCGGCCACCCUGGAACUGAGACACGGUCCAGACUCCUACGGGAGGCAGCAGUAGGGAAUCUUCCGCAAUGGGCGAAAGCCUGACGGAGCAACGCCGCGUGAGUGAUGAAGGUCUUCGGAUCGUAAAACUCUGUUAUUAGGGAAGAACAUAUGUGUAAGUAACUGUGCACAUCUUGACGGUACCUAAUCAGAAAGCCACGGCUAACUACGUG